rnacentral:rRNA from 1 species
AGGACGAACGCUGGCGGCGUGCUUAACACAUGCAAGUCGAGCGGAAAGGCCCUUCGGGGUACUCGAGCGGCGAACGGGUGAGUAAUACGUGAGCAACCUGCCCUUAGCUCUGGGAUAGCUCCGGGAAACCGGAAUUAAUACCGGAUAUGACCUAGGCCGACAUCGGCCGUGGUGGAAAGUUUUUCGGCUAGGGAUGGACUCGCGGCCUAUCAGCUAGUUGGUGGGGUAAUGGCCUACCAAGGCGACGACGGGUAGCCGGCCUGGGAGGGCGACCGGCCACACUGGGACUGAGACACGGCCCAGACUCCUACGGGAGGCAGCAGUGGGGAAUCUUGCGCAAUGGGCGAAAGCCUGACGCAGCGACGCCGCGUGGGGGAUGAAGGCCUUCGGGUUGUAAACCCCGUUUCAGCGAGGGACGAAGCGAAAGUGACGGUACCUGCAGAAGAAGCGCCGGCUAACUACGCGCCAGCAGCCGC